AAACACCUCCGCCAUGGGUGAUGC
rnacentral:siRNA from 1 species